rnacentral:rRNA from 1 species
AGGUCUUGACAUCCCUCUGACCGCUCUAGAGAUAGAGUUUUCCUUCGGGACAGAGGUGACAGGUGGUGCAUGGUUGUCGUCAGCUCGUGUCGUGAGAUGUUGGGUUAAGUCCCGCAACGAGCGCAACCCCUAUUGUUAGUUGCCAUCAUUUAGUUGGGCACUCUAGCGAGACUGCCGGUAAUAAACCGGAGGAAGGUGGGGAUGACGUCAAAUCAUCAUGCCCCUUAUGACCUGGGCUA